rnacentral:rRNA from 1 species
UCCAGUAGUGUAUGCUUCUCCUAAAGACUAAGCCAUGCAUGUCUUCGAAUAAGAGGAAGCAAUUCUCUCUGAAUCUGCGAACGGCUCCGCAAACCAGUUGUAAACUAUAGCAAGUAAGCCCGGGCCCCUUCUCACGGGGGGGUUCGGGUGAUAUGGAUAACCCUGGUAAUUCUGAGGCUAAUACGAGAACGUAAUACUCGACAGACCGGUGCAAACUGGGAAGUUGGGAGACGUGCAACUAGAAGUCGCGGGAAACGCCGGGAAAGGAUGCACGCCUGGACCGCUAUUCAAAACGGAUGACCUACACUUGCCCUUCACUGGGCCGGAGGAAGUUGCCCGAGCGGCUCUUGCAAUGUGCUUCUGACCUAUCAACUAGACGGCAGCGUAAAGGACAUGCUAUGGUUACAACGGGUACAGAGGAUUAGGGUUCGAUCCUGGAGAGUGGGCCUGAGAGAUUGCUCAUACUUCUAAGGAAGGCAGCAGGCGCGCAACGUUCCCCUUGUGCAAUGUAUGAGGGCGUUAGGGGACAUAUGGAUGCCUGCCCAUAGGGUGGGCAAUUCAAAUGGGUCUGUUGUAAACAGGCUCUCGAGUAACAAUUAGAGGACAAGUCUGGUGCCAGCACCCGCGGUAAUUCCAGCUCUAAUAGCAUACGUUAAAGUUGUUGCGGUUAAAACGCUCGUAGUCGGCAUAAGAUCAUCAGAUACCUGAGCUGCGAACCUGGGUCUGCUGCCUUCACGGGCGCGCCGGGCGAGUGGCAAAGGAGGGCGGUGGUCAAGCGUGCUCUCGGCUGUCCCUUCACUGGGUCACAGGGUCUGAUUUCGGUCGGAUUCGGCUGGGGGUGCCACUUACCAUGACCAAACUGGGUUGAUCAAGUAAGGUCGUACGAUCUUGCACAGCACAGCAUGGAAUAAGGGUAACCGGGCUGGCCUCUCUCGCGGGGGGUCGGUUUGGUAAAAGCGAAAGGGGUGUUCGAGGGUGACCGAAUUGCCGGGCGAGUGGUGAAAUACGGUGACCCUGGCAAGUCGACCAAAGGCGAAAGCA